rnacentral:sRNA from 1 species
GCUGGGCAUGUUUGGUGCAUGCCUGUAAUCCCAGCGACUCAUGAGGCUGAGACAGGAAGAUUGCAAGUUUGAGGUGAAACUUGGCAGUUUACUGAGGACCUAAGCAACUUAGCAAGACCUUGUCUCAA